ensembl:lncRNA
ACCAGUCCUAGCCAAUGUUGCUGAAGUUGCCAAACACCACCAAUCUGUUAGCAGAAUACCUACUGCCAUUAUGUCAGGCACUGAACAUGAAACAAGGCAGACCAGCAUGGAGAGUUAUUCUAAAGCCUUUGUUAGACAAAUUCUAAUGUCUAUCCAGAGUGAAAGCAGCAGAGGGCCUAUUGACUUACUCCAUUGUGAGCUCCAUGUUGAAGGAUUUUGAUGCCAGGGACAGUAAUGUUGGCUUGGGGACACACCGGGCUUCUUCUUCAAAGUCGUCCCACUCCAUCACCUCUGCCAAAUCCAGAGCUUCCCAGAGUGAUGAUUUUCGAAAAUCUUUACCAGGCGCUCCGAUCCCAAAUGAGUGGCCUUUUAGUAGUGAUUUCCCUAUCAUUAGGAGUUCUGUCAUUGAUGUGGGUAAGUCCUCAAUGCUUCCAAAGGCCGGUAAAAAGGAAAAGAAGAUAUCAGCUUUCUUCUCUCGGUUUCGACUACCCUCAAAGAAUUUAAAGAAUGUCAACCUGAAUGACUACUGGGCUUCAAGAACUUCCCCGAACCAGACCCCUGCUGUCAGUAAAAUAGUUGUCAACAAUCACCAUACUGGCCAAACAGAAACUCCACAAUGAAGAGGCCAUGGAAGCAGUCAUCCUUUUCAGGGGCAUUUUCAGAUAUAAGAAAUGCCCUAUCCAGUCUCUUUACAUCCUGUUUUAAAGGGGG